rnacentral:misc_RNA from 1 species
CAGCCCUCGACCCGCUAUUCGCGUAGCUGGAUCGGUGUUGGGGCACUACGGUGGAAUACCCGUAGGCUCCGAAAUGAAGUGGCGGUCCCGCCGCGGCGCCCCCAUGCGUAGUAACAUCUCGUCUCGCAUCGGGUCCCGGUGUAUUGGCUCCCAUAAGCUACCCCUUCUA